GGUGGAUUAGUGGCGAACGGGUGAGUAACACGUGGGCAAUCUGCCCUUCACUCUGGGACAAGCCCUGGAAACGGGGUCUAAUACCGGAUAACACUCCUACAGGCAUCUGUGGGGGUUGAAAGCUCCGGCGGUGAAGGAUGAGCCCGCGGCCUAUCAGCUUGUUGGUGAGGUAGAAGCUCACCAAGGCGACGACGGGUAGCCGGCCUGAGAGGGCGACCGGCCACACUGGGACUGAGACACGGCCCAGACUCCUACGGGAGGCAGCAGUGGGGAAUAUUGCACAAUGGGCGAAAGCCUGAUGCAGCGACGCCGCGUGAGGGAUGACGGCCUUCGGGUUGUAAACCUCUUUCAGCAGGGAAGAAGCGAAAGUGACGGUACCUGCAGAAGAAGCGCCGGCUAACUACGUGCCAGCAGCCGCGGUAAUACGUAGGGCGCAAGCGUUGUCCGGAAUUAUUGGGCGUAAAGAGCUCGUAGGCGGUCUGUCGCGUCGGAUGUGAAAGCCCGGGGCUUAACCCCGGGUCUGCAUUCGA
rnacentral:rRNA from 1 species